rnacentral:misc_RNA from 1 species
UCGGAGUGACAGAGCCGGAUUCGAGACACACGUUCUCGACCGGAGCUCAUGGGUGGAACAUUGACAUAGGCCUCGAGUCGAACCUCGAGAUCUCAGUACUUCCUUCGGGAAUGGAACGGGUCGACAGGGGAGACCCGGGGCAUGCACGCUGUUGGGUCCUGAGGGACCGGUCGCGUCUCUUCGGAGACACAACCAACCUCAGGACCUUUCGUCGCCUCCACGGAGUGGGGGAAGCGGAGGGUACCGCCCGUACUUUGAGAACUACACAGUGGACGCGAGCAUCUUAGAUCUGAGACUCAGGUCUCAGGUCUACAUGGUGAACGACGCAGCUCUUCGGAGCUGCAUCAAUCACUGGUCAUGUCCGAGCCGGUUCGCCGGCUCAGGACACGAUUCAAAACUCAUGUAGUCAAGUUUCUAAGAGCAGACGGUGGAUGCCUUGGCAUCUGGAGCCGAAGAAGGACGUAGCAAUCUGCGAUAAGCCUCGGGGAGUUGAUAAGCGA